rnacentral:rRNA from 1 species
GAUGAACGCUGGCGGCGUGCCUAAUACAUGCGAGUCGAGCGAACAGACGAGGAGCUUGCUCCUCUGACGUUAGCGGCGGACGGGUGAGUAACACGUGGAUAACCUACCUAUAAGACUGGGAUAACUUCGGGAAACCGGAGCUAAUACCGGAUAAUAUAUUGAACCGCAUGGUUCAAUAGUGAAAGACGGUUUUGCUGUCACUUAUAGAUGGAUCCGCGCCGCAUUAGCUAGUUGGUAAGGUAACGGCUUACCAAGGCAACGAUGCGUAGCCGACCUGAGAGGGUGAUCGGCCACACUGGAACUGAGACACGGUCCAGACUCCUACGGGAGGCAGCAGUAGGGAAUCUUCCGCAAUGGGCGAAAGCUUGACGGAGCAACGCCGCGUGAGUGAUGAAGGUCUUCGGAUCGUAAAACUCUGUUAUUAGGGAAGAACAAAUGUGUAAGUAACUAUGCACGUCUUGACGGUACCUAAGCAGAAAGCCACGGCUAACUACGU